UUUAAUUAAAUAUAAAUGGACGAAAAUUAAUUAAAAAUUAAAAGUAUUGAUUUUUACAAAAAAAUUCUAACCUAAUGAUUAAUCAUCCCCCACGUGUCAACACCACACCCCUGCCUGGCAUCGUCAUCAUCAUUUUCAUUCCUAUAAAUAGGACUUCUAAAACCACCAAUGCACUCCCCUACACCUCUCUACCCUUGCCAAAAAAUCAAGAGAACAAAAAAAAAGCAAUAAGUUAGUAGUAGAGUAAGCACGUGAUAAAUAGUUUGGGUUUCACGUACAUAAGUACUUGAGUUUUGAAACCCUGUGUUUUAAAGUUCAACUAUUCUUGUAUACGAGGAACCUAGUUUCAUAGGUUUCCACAUAUCUAAUAACUAUAUAUUUAACUUUUACUUAUCUAUGUGUGCUAACACUAACUCUUAACACUACUAAGUAAUGUUCCUAUUUCAUCUUUCACUUCCUAAGCAUUGUAUUCUCAUACAGUCAAUCAUCAUUUAUGUUUAAUAAUUUUAUGUCAGUUAUCAUGUUUAUGUGUUCAGUGAACUUGCGAGCGUUGCAUGGAUCGAACCUCGUGGUUCGAUCGGAUCGUCUAGGGAUGGGUUUCAUAACGGGUAUUAGAGCCUGGUUAUUCUCAACUGUUUGAUCGAAGUUUAUGGUACUGAGGCGUCAUGAACCUCAAAGUGACCACUAUUUUCGGGAGCUUAGUGUAGUAACCAAAGUUUUUCUGGGUUCUCAAAUUUUUUGUCAUUUUCAUAGCUCGAUUUUUUCUUCGAAUUUUUGACCUUUUUCAUUAAUUAGAAUACACACUUCUAAACUCUUACCGAAUUGUCUAAAUUAUGAAUUAAUGGUCACAAGCAAAGAUGCUAUACCGAACCUAGAUAUUAAGCGUUGGUCAGAUUAACGGGUUGACAUGAUAUUUCAAACUCAAAAGCUAAGUUCUAUAAUUGGACCAGAUGAUAGGGGUUUCGAGCCCACUAAGUGUAUGAGAUUGGGGUCGGCUUGGGCCUGUUUCGAAUUUUAGAAUUUUAAUUAAAAAUAAAUGGACGAAAAUUAAUAAAAAAUUAAAAGUAUAUAUUUUUACAAAAAAAUUCUAACCUAAUGAUUAAUCAUCCCCCACGUGUCAACACCACACCCCUACCUUCCAUCGUCAUCAUCAUCAUCAUCAUCUUCAUUCCUAUAAAUAGGACUUCUAAAACCAAUAAUCACGGAACAAAAAAAACACUCCUAAAGUCCCCAACACAAACUUCAGUCACUAACUCUAAUCUCAAACUCUCCAACCCUCGAUAUCCCCUAAAGUUUUUCAAACUCCAAAAGUCAUUGACAUUCUCAAAGAGCUCUCUUUCAUUCCUCUCUUCAUUCUUCACCAAUGCACUGCCCUACACCUCUCUACCCUUGCCAAAGAACCAAAAGAACAAAAAAGAAAUAAGUUAGUAGUAAAGUAAGCACAUCAUAAAUAAUUUGGGUUUCACGUACAUAAGUACUUGAGUUUUGAAACCCUGUGUUUUAAAGUUCAACUAUUCUUGUAUACGAGGAAUCUAGUUUCAUAGGUUUCUACAUAUCUAAUAACUAUAUAUUUAACUUUUAUUUAUCUAUGUGUGCUAACACUAACUCUUAACACUACUAAGUAAUGUUCCUAUUUCAUCUUUCACUUCCUAAGCAUUGUAUUCUCAUACAGUCAAUCAUCAUUUAUGUUUAAUAAUUGUAUGUCAGUUAUAAUGUUUAUGUGUUGAGUGAGCUUGCGAGCAUUGUAUGGAUCGAAGCACGUGGUUCGAUUGGGUCGUCUAGGGGUGGGUUUCACAACAGACAUUAGAGAAUGGAUAUUAGAGCCUGAUUAUUCUCUAUUGUUUGAUCGAGGUUAUUGGUACUGAGGCGUCAUGAACCUCAAAGUGACCACUAUUUUAGGGUGCUUAGUGUAGUAACCAACGUUUUUCCGGGUUCUCAAUUUUUUUGUCAUUUUCGUAGCUCGAUUUUUUCUUCGAAUUUUUGACCUUUUUCAUUAAUUUGAAUACACACUUCUAAACUCUUACCGAAUUGUCUAAAUUAUGAAUUAACGGUCACAAGCAAAGAUGCUAUACCAAACCUAAAUAUUAAGCGUUGGUCAGAUUAACGGGUUGACAUGAUAUUUCAAACUUAAAAGCUAAGUUCUAUAAUUGGACUAGGUGAUAGGGGUUUCGAGCCCACCAAGUGAAUGAGAUUGGGUUUGGCUUGGGCCCGUUUCGAAUUUCAGAAUUUUAAUUAAAAAUAAAUGGACGAAAAUUAAUUAAAAAUUAAAAGUAUUGAUUUUUACAAAAAAAUUCUAACCUAAUGAUUAAUCAUCCUCACCAAUGCGCUGCCCUACACCUCUCUACCCUUGCCAAAAAACCAAG
rnacentral:lncRNA from 1 species